GCCUGGGUGGCUCAGUCGGUUAAGUGUCCGAUUUCAGCUCAGGUCAUGAUCUCACAGUUCGUGGGUUCAAGCCCCACAUCAGGCU
rfam:Felis catus isolate Cinnamon breed Abyssinian chromosome B3, whole genome shotgun sequence.